rnacentral:rRNA from 1 species
GACGAACGCUGGCGGCGUGCUUAACACAUGCCAGUCGAACGGAAAGGCCCUGCUUGCAGGGUACUCGAGUGGCGAACGGGUGAGUAACACGUGGGUGAUCUGCCCUGCACUUCGGGAUAAGCCUGGGAAACUGGGUCUAAUACCGGAUAGGAGCCAUUUUUAGUGUGAUGGUUGGAAAGUUUUUUCGGUGUAGGAUGAGCUCGCGGCCUAUCAGCUUGUUGGUGGGGUAAUGGCCUACCAAGGCGGCGACGGGUAGCCGGCCUGAGAGGGUGGACGGCCACAUUGGGACUGAGAUACGGCCCAGACGCCUACGGGAGGCAGCAGUGGGGAAUAUUGCACAAUGGGCGCAAGCCUGAUGCAGCGACGCCGCGGGGGGGAGGACGGCCUUCGGGUUGGAAACUCCUUUCGCUAGGGACGAAGCUUUUUGUGACGGUACCUAGAGAAGAAGCACCGGCUAACUACGUG